rnacentral:miRNA from 1 species
AUGAGGCGCACGUUGCUGGGAUUUAUAUAUAUAUAUAUAUAUAUAUAUAUAUAUAUAUAUAUAUAUAUAAUAUAUAUAUAUAUAUAUAUAUAUAUAUAUAUAUAUAUAUAUAUAUAAAAAUCCCAGCAACGUGCGCCUCAU